CACUCCUGCGGGAGGCAGCAGUGGGGAAUAUUGCACAAUGGGCGCAAGCCUGAUGCAGCCAUGCCGCGUGUAUGAAGAAGGCCUUCGGGUUGUAAAGUACUUUCAGCGGGGAGGAAGGCAAUACGGUUAAUAACCGUGUUGAUUGACGUUACCCGCAGAAGAAGCACCGGCUAACUCCGUGCCAGCAGCCGCGGUAAUACGGAGGGUGCAAGCGUUAAUCGGAAUUACUGGGCGUAAAGCGCACGCAGGCGGUCUGUCAAGUCGGAUGUGAAAUCCCCGGGCUCAACCUGGGAACUGCAUUCGAAACUGGCAGGCUUGAGUCUUGUAGAGGGGGGUAGAAUUCCAGGUGUAGCGGUGAAAUGCGUAGAGAUCUGGAGGAAUACCGGUGGCGAAGGCGGCCCCCUGGACAAAGACUGACGCUCAGGUGCGAAAGCGUGGGGAGCAAACAGGAUUAGAAACCCGUGUAGUCCCAUGAU
rnacentral:rRNA from 1 species